rnacentral:rRNA from 1 species
AUUGAACGCUGGCGGCAGGCUUAACACAUGCAAGUCGAGCGAGAGGCGGACGGGUGAGUAAUGUCUGGGAAACUGCCUGAUGGAGGGGGAUAACUACUGGAAACGGUAGCUAAUACCGCAUACCAUCAGAUGUGCCCAGGUGGGAUUAGCUGGUAGGUGGGGUAAUGGCUCACCUAGGCGACGACCCCUAGCUGGUCUGAGAGGAUGACCGGCCCCACUGGAACGGAGACACGGUCCGGACUCCUACGGGAGGCAGCAGUGGGGAAUAUUGCACAAUGGGCGAAAGCCUGCGGAAGCCAGGCCGCGGGUGUGAAGAAGGCCUUCGGGUGGUAAAGCACUUUCAGCGAGGAGACGGUACUCGCAGAGGAAGCACCGGCUAACUACGUGCCAGCAGCCGCGGUAAUAC